UGGUCUCUCUUGAGCCUUGUGUCCUGGUCUCUCUUGAGCCUUGUGUCCAGGUCUCUCUUGAGCCUUGUGUCCAGAUCUCUCUUGGGCCUUGUGUCCAGGUCUCUCUUGAGCCUUGUGUCCAGGUCUCUCUUGGGCCUUGUGUCCAGGUCUCUCUUGAGCCUUGUGUCCAGGUCUCUCUUGAGCCUUGUGUCCAGGUCUCUCUUGAGCCUUGUGUCCUGGUCUCUCUUGAGCCUUGUAUCGAGGUCUCUCUUGAGCCUUGUGUCCAGGUCUCUCUUGAGCCUUGUGUCCAGGUCUCUCAUGAGCCUUGUGUCCUGGUCUCUCUUGAGCCUUGUAUCGAGGUCUCUCUUGAGCCUUGUGUCCAGGUCUCUCUUGAGCCUUGUGUCCAGGUCUCCCUUGAGUCCAUGU